rnacentral:lncRNA from 1 species
CACUGAGCUACAUCCCUAUCUCUGUUUUAUUUGAAGACAGUGUCUUGCUAAGUCACUAAGUUGCCCAGGCUGGGCUUGAACUUGUGAUUCUCCUGUCCCAGCCUCCUAGAGUUAUUGAUGUGUACCACCAAACCCGGAUUUGGACAGCAAAUUGCCUUUCUGCAGUUGUGUUAUGGCUACCAUUGCAAUUAAGAAAUGGAAAAUGAACUUCUGAGAUCCAAUGCAGUCGGCUUUCAUCAGCCUCAGAACCAUGUAUGGAAAGAAAACAAAAUACAGAUGUAAGAGGAUGGCAAAAAGAGAAAACCCAGCAAAAGCACUCAGAAGUGGUGCAAGAACCCUGGGUGAAAACCAACUUUGGGAAAAUAGCAGCGGAAGACAUCUGCCAUCCGUGAACAGGCAGUGGUUUAGUUGGCUUCAUACCUGUGUUCCCUCAUUUAUUUUGAGUAAAGAAAAAAAUCAGUAUUUCUCUUUUGUGAAAUGUUUGGGAAUUAGAAAAAAAUGUUUGUUGAAGUAUAAGAAGAAAAAUGCUGGGGCCGGGGGUUUAGCUCAGUGGUUUCGCCGCCUGCUCCACAAGCGCAAGGACGCAAGUUCAAUCCCCGGUACCAAAAAAACCAAAAAACCAAAAAAAAGAAAAGUGCUUCAGGAAUUGUGCCAGGCAUUCUUAAU